rnacentral:rRNA from 1 species
UACGUAGGGGGCAAGCGUUGUCCGGAUUUAUUGGGCGUAAAGAGCUCGUAGGCGGCCAACUAAGUCAGACGUGAAAUCCCUCAGCUUAACUGAGGAACUGCGUCUGAUACUGGAUGGCUUGGAUUCGGGAGAGGGAUGCGGAAUUCCAGGUGUAGCGGUGAAAUGCGUAGAUAUCUGGAGGAACACCGGUGGCGAAGGCGGCAUCCUGGACCGAUAUUGACGCUGAGGAGCGAAAGCUAGGGGAGCAAACGGG